AAAGAUCCACAUGAUGAGAAAGAACUGAAAAAAACAAUUGCAUGAAAUUUGUUGCUAGUAGCAUGUCUGAACUUCAUUUUCCUGUAAUUCCUAGGAGAACACUAUGAGGUCAUACACAUGAUUUUCCACAACAACCUUAUUACCGUAAACAUCCACAUAACCUAGCGAUUUUAUUUACUUAUCUUGUGAGUACAAGUUAAUUUAAGAUAGCACAAGACAGUGCAUCAUUAGUGGUAGGAAACUCAGUUCAGUUCAGUCGCGUCCAACUCUUUGCGACCCCGUGGACUGCAGCAUGCCAGGCUUCCCUCUCCAUCACCAACUCCUGGGGCUUGCUCAAACUCGCGUCCAUCGCAUCGGUGAUGCCAUCCAACCAUCUCAUCCUGUCAUCCCCUUCUCCUCCCACCUUCAAUCUCUCUAGUCAAUUUGUAAAGAAGACCAUGUUUGAUUCUGCUUUAACAAUAAGAGUGAUCAAAACUGGAAAAUGAUGGACAAGAACGAUAAUAAUGGUUAAUACUAAUAAUAUGCUUACUAAGGCAUUGUUCUCACCAAUGUACAUAUACUAAUUAAUUUUCACAACUUUGGAGUUGGUACUAUUACUCUAUCAAAAUUACUGUUUUUGCAGUAAAUGUGUUACGUUAAUGCAAAUAAAACACAAUUAGAAACAAGGUCAUAACUGUGUGAGGUGAUGGAUAUGUAGUUUGGUUGUAGUAAUCACUGUAUAUGUAUAUCAAGUCAUCACACUAUAGAACUUAGACAUAUACACUCUUUAUUUGGCAAUUACACCUCAAUAAAGCUGAGGGGAAGGAAAGAACAAGCUGCUUAAAAAAAGAAUUAACCACAGAUGUGGGGAAUCUAAGUCAUUAAAAGGUGAACACAUCAAGCUCUUGCAAAGAACCUCAGGUAACUGGUUGUUCUUGUAAACAAAACAUUGUCUCUGCUGUUGCUGUAAGGAAGCUGUGUGAUCAGUGAUAGAUUUUCUUAGAAAACAGGAUGUGAGGGUCACUUGAUAGUCAGAGGAACACUCACGCUUAAUGUUCAGCUCAACCAGUAUCAACUGUUACAUUAAUAGUCCAAAUAGUAACAUGGAUUACUUCUCCUCUGGGUUUCUUUCUCAGCAGUAUAGGAAAUAAAAAUAUGAGCCUCUUGGAUCCAUCCUGGAAAGACAGAGAAAAUCCCCUGAUGAGUUCCUGAGAUGGGGGUCCUAGAUCUGGAAGGCAAAAAGAACUGAAGCUGAAAGAAGGUCAGUGU
ensembl:lncRNA